rnacentral:rRNA from 1 species
UACGGGGGGAGCAAGCGUUGUUCGGAUUUACUGGGCGUAAAGGGCGCGUAGGCGGUCAGCACAAGUCAGUUGUGAAAUCUCCGGGCUUAACUCGGAAAGGUCAACUGAUACUGUGCGACUAGAGUGCGGAAGGGGCAACUGGAAUUCUCGGUGUAGCGGUGAAAUGCGUAGAGAUGGGGGAGAACACUCGUGGCGAAGGCGGCCAGCUAGACCAGUUCUGACACUGAGGCGCGACAGCGUGGGGAGCAAACAGG